ACUCACUCUGUCAUGAUCAUGAUCUUUUAAACUCAGUCUUAUAAAUUACAUAGGACUACUCCUUAACUACUAAGAUCGAUAUAUCCCAUCUGAGUGUGCAUCCUACUCCUAUAGCGAACCUACUGUAGCCGACAUACACUAUGAGCACCCAUAUGGCUAGGGAUCAAAUUUAUGUGCAGUCAAACUAUAGCAACCUACUAUAAGUAGUCGAGACACCAC
rnacentral:lncRNA from 1 species